GCGGGUGUAGCGUAGUCCGGCUCAACGCGCCUCCCUGUCACGGAGGAGAUCGAGGGUUCGAAUCCCUUCACCCGCG
rnacentral:tRNA from 1 species